GCUCCCAUGGCGUAGUGGUCACUGCGCUCGCCUUGGACGCGGGAGGCCCGGGUUCGAUUCCCGGCGGGGUCA
rnacentral:tRNA from 1 species